CAGGACGAACGCUGGCGGCGUGCCUAAUACAUGCAAGUCGAACGGCUUUUCUAUGGAAGCUUGCUUCCACUGAGAAGAUAGUGGCGAACGGGUGAGUAACACGUGGGGUAACCUGCCCAUAAGAGGGGGAUAACAUCCGGAAACGGGUGCUAAUACCGCAUAGUUUUCUUGAUCGCAUGAUUGAGAAAGGAAAGACGGCCUUUGUGCUGUCGCUUAUGGAUGGACCCGCGGCGUAUUAGUUAGUUGGUGAGGUAAUGGCUCACCAAGACGAUGAUACGUAGCCGACCUGAGAGGGUGAUCGGCCACAUUGGGACUGAGACACGGCCCAAACUCCUACGGGAGGCAGCAGUAGGGAAUCUUCCGCAAUGGACGAAAGUCUGACGGAGCAACGCCGCGUGAGUGAAAGAAGGUUUUCGGAUCGUAAAACUCUGUUGUCAGAGAAGAACAAGUUGGAGAGUAACUGCUCCAGCCUUGACGGUAUCUGACCAGAAAGCCACGGCUAACUACGUGCCAGCCGCCGC
rnacentral:rRNA from 1 species